CGACAGCCAGGGUCAAUUUCAAUGUGAAGUGUUAACAAAAGCCUACGUGUGAGGGUCCGCGCGCUCGGCCAACAGGUAUCGGUGCGUUCAGGCUCUGCUCCGUCAAAGCCAACUGCGGACGUCAACUUUCAAGGAUUCCAGUAAUCAAGGCCUUUUGUUCCAGCCACGCACAACAAUCCCCGAGCGCGUCCCCCAACCCCCCUCGGCCUCUACUGUAGACCCCGGCCUGUGGCUCUGCACCUACAGGAGAAGGCGAGCGGAGGAACCAGGCCAGCGGCCUGAUGACAGAAUGCCAUUCAACAUGCUCGCACGAGCACAAUGACGCGGUCGCCCCGAAGAGCAGCUCAGGCCAAGUCGGGUUCCUGCCAGGGUUUUAGAUGCAGCAUGACUCAGGAGAGUGAGACCAGGUGUCGGCUGGUUUCUCUGCAGCACCCAAUGGAACAAACACCAGGAAUUUGUCGAAUCUGUGCUGGAUGUUCUAUUGCACAUGGUUAUAGUUAAUAAAUAACAUUCAGUAGCAGCAAAUGUCAGAUAUUUUUGUAAAACCAGUGUAUGUGGUAUUUAUCAACUUGUUAUUACAGUACAUUUUAUCUUGUGUCAUAAUUCUCAAUUGUCAAUUCUUUAAAACACUAAAUUGCAUUUUACGUACGCGU